AUCCCCAAGGAAUGAAAGAAGCUAAAAGUGUGACAGAAGGAACCCAACAUCAACUUGCUUAGUGAGUUCAGAGUUAAGCUUCAGCAUGAGAAUGAACUGACCUGAUCUGAGCCCAGGAUGCCCUUGGCUUUAACAGGGUCACAGUGGUGUGUAUGCAAAGGACAGAGACAACUCUUUCUCACCCAGGACUUCUUGGAUCCUUAAAAAUAAGUAUUUUCACAAUAGUAUUUCAGAGAUGUAAAUAACCAGUGGAUCCCCCCAGUAACUUUGAAUUCCCAUAGGAUAAACUACUUCCCUUAGAGGA